rnacentral:tRNA from 1 species
GCCGAGGUGGCGAAAUUGGUAGACGCACUGCCUUGAGGUGGCAGCCCUCGAAAGAGGAUAGGAGUUCGAGUCUCCUCCUCGGCA